UUGGGUUUUUUAUUAGUUCCUUCAGCAAGGUAGUAUUUUUCCAUAUAACUAGAAAGCAAGUUUCCAGAUAUUGUUUGAAAGUCUAGAUAUGUUGAAGCAGUGAGAUUAAGGUCUGAGUUACUCAACAGGAAACAAGCCAGUUUUCAGGAAAUAUAAACAUUUCUCUAAAAUUUAGAUCCUUGUGAGCUUUUCAAAAAGCAGGUGGUGAAUAAAAUUUUUUUCAGCUCUCUCUGAAACUACAGCUGAAGAGGGGAGUGAGAAUCUGUGAGAGAAGCCAUUCCACAGAUGCCAAGAAGAGUCCAGAAGGAGGGGCCCCAGGAGCUGGAGCAUGGGCAGCCCAGGUGCAGAUCAUGGCAAUCUUUGCAACAUUCCACCUGCCCUCCCUGAGUGCACUUAAAACUGUGUUUCAACGUGGAGAACAUUAUCAGGUUGAGGAGAUUUCUGUCCCUAUGUGUGAGUUUUUACCACUCUUAAGGAGUUGAAAUGGAAAGAUAUUUUGGUUUCUUAGUCUGGAAUAUUAAGAUGCUUAAGGUAUCAGCUGCACAAAUUAGUAAUAUAUUAAAAGCUACCUUCUAAAUCCUCUACCACCAGUGUAAUUUUCCUUUUCCCCCAUUUUUCAACAGUCUUCCUUGGAGCCUCUAAGUUUGAGAGCUUUAGAUAAUCACUGACUCAUUUUGUUUUCUAGGAAUGAACUAUGUAAGAGGUCUUUUCUAAAUAUAUGGAUAUAUUUACUGCAUACAUCAACUGUGCUUGUAUUUAUAUUUCAUACCUUUCCCAAAAUCUGCUGUGAUGAUUUUAAGUAGGGGGAUGUGAACGUGUGAAUAAAAUCAUACUGAAUAUAGAGUAAGAUUAUCUUUACUGAGAAUAGAAGGUCUUUUGUGCAAAGACUGGUCUGUGCUUUCAGAGUUCCAGCAAUCCAUGCCUGGUGCCUCCAGAGAAUCUAAUGAUUACAGGAAUCCCUUAAAAAUCACACACAUUUUACAUGGUAAGUAGAAUAAGGCUAACACUUAAGACAGAAACAUACUGUACCAUAAAGAGGUAUUCUAAAUUACAAUAACUUUCAUCUAGUCACUGAAUGCAGUGCUAAAAUGGCUUUUAGGCUAAAGAUCUGUUUUCUAAGCAGCACCAGUAAACUAUGGUGUGAGUUUCAGCAAGAGAAGGGAUGUUGGCAUGCUGGGGAAAGGGCAGUGAUGUUUUUGGGAACAUUAUGCAGAAUUUCACUUUCCCUUUUUCAAGGGAGAUAUUCAGUCUGGGAGAGACACACAGAAAAGGGUUUUUCUGAGACCCGAGGCAUCUUAGAAAACAAGCUCAAAGUUUGUCUAGAUCAGUCUAUAAAAAGAAAAACUGAGUGGGGAUAUGGCUGAUACUGUAAAUGUAACAGGGAGGGGCAAAAAUUAUUUCCUCUAAAGAAAAGCUAUGGCUUAAGAAGAAACCGAUCAUGAUUACAUUUACUACUGGAAUUUUGAAGAUUUCUAAUUACAGAAUGUGAUUCUGAAACAGUUUUCAAUAAGAGUAGGAGAUAGAGAACCACUUAGAAGAUGAAGUAUAGGGUUGCCUGUAAAAGCAGUCCCCAAAUGUCCAUGUUCCUAAAUAUCUUUUUUCCUAAAUUGAUUUUUCACACUGAGAUUGUAAAUAGGUAUAUUCUAACAACAGAUCUCAGCCCUUCAAGGUGUCACUCCCUUCAGUAAUUGGUAUUU